rnacentral:rRNA from 1 species
UACGGGGGGGGUAAGCGUUGUUCGGAAUUACUGGGCGUAAAGGGCUCGUAGGCGGCCAACUAAGUCAGACGUGAAAUCCCUCAGCUUAACUGGGGAACUGCGUCUGAUACUGGAUGGCUUGGAUUCGGGAGAGGAAUGCGGAAUUCCAGGUGUAGCGGUGAAAUGCGUAGAUAUCUGGAGGAACACCGGUGGCGAAGGCGGCAUUCUGGACCGACAUUGACGCUGAGGCGCGAAAGCCAGGGGAGCAAACGGG